rnacentral:rRNA from 1 species
GACGAACGCUGGCGGCGUGCUUAACACAUGCAAGUCGAACGGAAAGGCCCUGCUUUUGUGGGGUGCUCGAGUGGCGAACGGGUGAGUAACACGUGAGUAACCUGCCCUUGACUUUGGGAUAACUUCAGGAAACUGGGGCUAAUACCGGAUAGGAGCUCCUGCUGCAUGGUGGGGGUUGGAAAGUUUCGGCGGUUGGGGAUGGACUCGCGGCUUAUCAGCUUGUUGGUGGGGUAGUGGCUUACCAAGGCUUUGACGGGUAGCCGGCCUGAGAGGGUGACCGGCCACAUUGGGACUGAGAUACGGCCCAGACUCCUACGGGAGGCAGCAGUGGGGAAUAUUGCACAAUGGGCGGAAGCCUGAUGCAGCAACGCCGCGUGCGGGACGACGGCCUUCGGGUUGUAAACCGCCUUCGCCUGUGACGAAGCGUGAGUGACGGUAAUGGGUAAAGAAGCACCGGCUAACUACGUG